rnacentral:rRNA from 1 species
UACGAAGGGUGCAAACGUUGCUCGGAAUUAUUGGGCGUAAAGCGCACGUAGGCGGCUUGGCAAGUCGGAUGUGAAAUCCCUCGGCUCAACCAAGGAAGUGCAUCCGAAACUGCUGAGCUUGAGUACUUAAGAGGAUCGCGGAAUUCCCGGUGUAGAGGUGAAAUUCGUAGAUAUUCGGAAGAACACCAGUGGCGAAGGCGGCUCACUGGUCCGGUACUGACGCUGAGGUGCGAAAGCGUGGGGAGCAAACAGG